rnacentral:rRNA from 1 species
CGUUUCUCCGCCGGCGACCGGCGCACGGGUGAGUAACACGUAUGGCAACCUGCCCCUGUCAGGGGGACAAACCCGCCGAAAGGCGGGCUAAACCCGCGUACAUGCCACGGGCAUCCCGGAGGCAGGAAAGGCUUCGGCCGGACAGGGAUGGGCAUGCGGCGCAUUAGGCAGUAGGCGGGGUAACGGCCCACCUAACCGACGAUGCGUAGGGGUUCUGAGAGGAAGGUCCCCCACACUGGUACUGAGACACGGACCAGACUCCUACGGGAGGCAGCAG